rnacentral:tRNA from 2 species
GCCUUACUGGCAAAGCUGUUAAACUGCUUUGUAAUCAGUAGGUGGUCUGUUCGAGUCGGACAAGGGGCACCA